UACGGAGGGGGCAAGCGUUAUCCGGAUUUACUGGGGUUAAAGGGUGCGCAGGCGGAUAUGUAAGUCAGUGGUGAAAUCUCUAGGCUUAACCUGGAAAUUGCCGUUGAUACUAUAUAUCUUGAAUGCUGUGGAGGUAAGCGGAAUAUGUCAUGUAGCGGUGAAAUGCUUAGAUAUGACAUAGAACACCUAUUGCGAAGGCAGCUUACUACGCAGAUAUUGACGCUCAUGCACGAAAGCGUGGGGAUCAAACAGG
rnacentral:rRNA from 1 species